rnacentral:rRNA from 1 species
GACGAACGCUGGCGGCGUGCUUAACACAUGCAAGUCGAACGAUGAAGCCGGAGCUUGCUCUGGUGAAUUAGUGGCGAACGGGUGAGUAACACGUGAGUAACCUGCCCUUGACUCUGGGAUAACUGCGGGAAACUGUAGCUAAUACCGGAUACGACCCUCGGAGGCAUCUCCUGGGGGUGGAAAGAAUUUCGGUCAAGGAUGGACUCGCGGCCUAUCAGCUAGUUGGUGAGGUAAAGGCUCACCAAGGCGACGACGGGUAGCCGGCCUGAGAGGGUGACCGGCCACACUGGGACGGAGACACGGCCCAGACUCCUACGGGAGGCAGCAGUGGGGAAUAUUGCACAAUGGGCGCAAGCCUGAUGCAGCAACGCCGCGUGGGGGAUGACGGCCUUCGGGUCGUAAACCUCUUUUAGCAGGGAAGAAGCGAAAGUGACGGUACCUGCAGAAAAAGCACCGGCUAACUACGUGCCAGCAGCCGCCGCCG